CUACGGGGGGCAGCAGUGAGGAAUAUUGCACAAUGGAGGAAACUCUGAUGCAGCAACGCCGCGUGGAGGAUGACGCAUUUCGGUGUGUAAACUCCUUUUAUAUGUCAAGAAAAUGACGGUAGCAUAUGAAUAAGCACCGGCUAACUCCGUGCCAGCAGCCGCGGUAAUACGGAGGGUGCAAGCGUUACUCGGAAUCACUGGGCGUAAAGGACGCGUAGGCGGGAUAUGAAGUCAGGUGUGAAAUCCUACAGCUUAACUGUAGAACUGCACUUGAAACUGGUAACCUAGAGUAUGGGAGGGGGAGGUGGAAUUAGUGGUGUAGGGGUAAAAUCCGUAGAUAUCACUAGGAAUACCUAAAGCGAAGGCGAUCUCCUGGAACAUAACUGACGCUAAGGCGUGAAAGCGUGGGGAGCAAACAGGAUUAGAUACCCCAGUAGUC
rnacentral:rRNA from 1 species